ACGGCUCUCUUCCUCCUUCCCUUCACUCGACUUGGCUCUUUCUCGCUCGUGGGAGUCGUGGAGGAAUGCUCGACGCUGCUACAGAUUGUGACUGCUUGUGUAUGCUGUGGCUCGCGUGGAUGUAUGGCGGAGGAGCUGGUCGGUGCGGAGGGCUCUGUCGAGGGAGGGGAGGUGCCGACGGAUUGCUUGCUGGCGGACUGGGCAUGUCGUUGCGCUCACUGCAAUUCCUCUAUCUCUCAC
rnacentral:misc_RNA from 1 species